AUUGAACGCUGGCGGCAUGCUUUACACAUGCAAGUCGAACGGUAACAGCACUUCGGUGGCUGACGAGUGGCGAACGGGUGCGUAAUACAUCGGAACGUGCCUAGUAGUGGGGGAUAACUACUCGAAAGAGUAGCUAAUACCGCAUGAGAUCUAAGGAUGAAAGCAGGGGACCUUCGGGCCUUGCGCUACUAGAGCGGCUGAUGGCAGAUUAGGUAGUUGGUGGGAUAAAAGCUUACCAAGCCGACGAUCUGUAGCUGGUCUGAGAGGACGACCAGCCACACUGGGACUGAGACACGGCCCAGACUCCUACGGGAGGCAGCAGUGGGGAAUUUUGGACAAUGGGCGCAAGCCUGAUCCAGCAAUGCCGCGUGCAGGAUGAAGGCCUUCGGGUUGUAAACUGCUUUUGUACGGAACGAAAAGCCCUCUUCUAAUACAGGAGGGUCAUGACGGUACCGUAAGAAUAAGCACCGGCUAACUACG
rnacentral:rRNA from 1 species